rnacentral:rRNA from 1 species
CAGCAGCCGCGGUAAUACGUAGGGUGCGAGCGUUAAUCGGAAUUACUGGGCGUAAAGCGCACGUAGGCGGAAAUUUAAGUCAGGGGUGAAAUCCCGAGGCUCAACCUCGGAACUGCCUUUGAUACUGGGUUUCUUGAGUCCGGAAGAGGUGAGUGGAACUGCGAGUGUAGAGGUGAAAUUCGUAGAUAUUCGCAAGAACACCAGUGGCGAAGGCGGCUCACUGGUCCGGAACUGACGCUGAGGUGCGAAAGCGUGGGGAGCAAACAGGAUUAGAUACCCCAGUAGUCCCUGUCUCUUAUAC